ensembl:lncRNA
AUUAAAUCUGUAUUUGACCUCAAAAUCAUCUCAGAAAAAAAUAGGUGCUAAAGUCUAAGAUUUUUUUAUAAUCUUAAUUCAAGUGAUGAGUGAUUCUGAAAGUCUGACAGUAAUCAGUGUUGAGUUCUACUGUAAGGUUAAACCUGCCUGCUUUAAUUGUUUCAAAAUGAUUAACAGUUGAAAACAUAUAUACGAAAUUAAAAAAGUAAUCAAAAAGUAAUCAAAUGCAAUCAGUUACAUUACUUUAAUAAAGUAUUUAAAAUAGUUACACCUCUUAGCCUAUUACAUUCUAAAUAGAGUAACUUGUAAUCUGUAAAACACUGAUCUUAAUUAAUAAUCAUACAUUAGUAUGUUGUGCAUUAUUUCACAUUCAUUCAUUUAUUUAGUGUGUUUGUCGGUGCCCACCCUUCUCUUCUCUUCUGCUUCAGGUUUCAGCAACACCUGCUCGGUGUCUUCACACCUCUCGACUUCCCUGCCUAGUGCACAACAUGGAACGAGCGUCUGGUGAUCUGGUGCUGUCUAUGUAGGGAGCGAAGCGUUGAUUUGAGCCGCGGCCGUGAGACACUGUCUGACUGACCUGACCCAGGAGACGCUCGCAUAUUGAGUAAGUGGUGGUUAUUAUAGUGUGAAGAAUGUGAUAGUGACUCAUUUACACAACACUAUGAGGGCAACAGGACAGUGUUGUGUAUUGUAGUGUCAUUGAAACAAUGCGGUGUGUUGCAGUGCAUUUGCUGGAGGACAUGUGCUGGAUUCCUGACGUGUGGAGAAUUACUGAGAGCUUCAGCUGCUGCUCUUCACUGGCUUCAUUCGCUAGAUCUACAAGCAUCAGAUCCGAGCAGAUUCACAGCUUCAGGUGCGUAAAACACCAGCGCAUAACCCAAUCAUGGACAACUCAGAUUCUGUUCAAUAAAAUUAAAUUGAAAUUCUGAAUGCAAAACAUACACUUCCAGACUAAACAGAGAUGCUAACUCCUCACCUUUCAGUCACAGCUCACUAUUUUGAGAUAAAAAUUUUGAGAGUCACUUGUUAGAUUUUGAGAAAGUGUUUUUAUUGGUUGUGUGUGUUAGAGAGAGAGAGAGAGAGAGAGUGUGAAAGAGUAUGUGUGUGUGUGUGUAUGUGUGUGCGAAAGUGUGUGUGAGAUAGUAUGUCUGUGUGUGUGUGUGUGUGUGUGUGUGUGUGAGAGAGAGAGUGUGUGUGUGAGAGAGAGAGAGAGAGAGAGAAGAAGAGAG